rnacentral:tRNA from 1 species
AGGCCCUUAGCUCAAUUGGUAGAGCACCUGACUCUUAAUCAGGGUGCUGUGGGUUCGAGUCCCACAGGGCCUA